rnacentral:rRNA from 1 species
AAUGAACGCUGGCGGCGUGCCUAACACAUGCAAGUCGUGCGCGAAAGGGGCUUCGGCCCGAGUAGAGCGGCAGACGGGUGAGUAACACGUGGGUAACCUGCCCAGAAGUGGGGGAUAACCUGGGGGAAACUCGGGCUAAUACCGCAUACGUUCGCGGGGUUCUGCUCCGCGAGGAAAGCCGGCCUAUGCUUGCAAGCUGGCGCUUUUGGAGGGGCCCGCGGCUGAUUAGCUUGUUGGUGGGGUAAUGGCCUACCAAGGCGACGAUCAGUAGCCGGCCUGAGAGGGUGAACGGCCACACUGGAACUGAGACACGGUCCAGACUCCUACGGGAGGCAGCAGUGGGGAAUAUUGGACAAUGGGCGCAAGCCUGAUCCAGCAACGCCGCGUGGAGGAUGAAGGCCUUCGGGUUGUAAACUCCUGUUAGGGGGAACGAAGGGUCGCGGGUUAACAGCCGGUGACCUUGACGGUACCUCCAGAGGAAGCCCCGGCUAACUCUGUG